UAUUCCGCAGGGAGAGCCUCCU
rnacentral:siRNA from 1 species